AGAGUUUGAUCCUGGCUCAGGAUGAACGCUAGCUACAGGCUUAACACAUGCAAGUCGAGGGGCAGCAUUUCAGUUUGCUUGCAAACUGGAGAUGGCGACCGGCGCACGGGUGAGUAACACGUAUCCAACCUGCCGAUAACUCGGGGAUAGCCUUUCGAAAGAAAGAUUAAUAUCCGAUAGUAUAUUAAAACCGCAUGGUUUUACUAUUAAAGAAUUUCGGUUAUCGAUGGGGAUGCGUUCCAUUAGUUUGUUGGCGGGGUAACGGCCCACCAAGACAACGAUGGAUAGGGGUUCUGAGAGGAAGGUCCCCCACAUUGGAACUGAGACACGGUCCAAACUCCUACGGGAGGCAGCAGUGAGGAAUAUUGGUCAAUGGGCGAUGGCCUGAACCAGCCAAGUAGCGUGAAGGAUGACUGCCCUAUGGGUUGUAAACUUCUUUUAUAUGGGAAUAAAGUUUUCCACGUGUGGAAUUUUGUAUGUACCAUAUGAAUAAGGAUCGGCUAACUCCGUGCCAGCAGCCGCGGUAAUACGGAGGAUCCGAGCGUUAUCCGGAUUUAUUGGGUUUAAAGGGAGCGUAGGUGGACAGUUAAGUCAGUUGUGAAAGUUUGCGGCUCAACCGUAAAAUUGCAGUUGAUACUGGCGACCUUGAGUGCAACAGAGGUAGGCGGAAUUCGUGGUGUAGCGGUGAAAUGCUUAGAUAUCACGAAGAACUCCGAUUGCGAAGGCAGCUUACUGGAUUGUAACUGACGCUGAUGCUCGAAAGUGUGGGUAUCAAACAGGAUUAGAUACCCUGGUAGUCCACACAGUAAACGAUGAAUACUCGCUGUUUGCGAUAUACAGUAAGCGGCCAAGCGAAAGCGUUAAGUAUUCCACCUGGGGAGUACGCCGGCAACGGUGAAACUCAAAGGAAUUGACGGGGGCCCGCACAAGCGGAGGAACAUGUGGUUUAAUUCGAUGAUACGCGAGGAACCUUACCCGGGCUUAAAUUGCAACUGACGGAAUCGGAAACGGUUCUUUCUUCGGACAGUUGUGAAGGUGCUGCAUGGUUGUCGUCAGCUCGUGCCGUGAGGUGUCGGCUUAAGUGCCAUAACGAGCGCAACCCUUGUUGUCAGUUACUAACAGGUGAUGCUGAGGACUCUGACAAGACUGCCAUCGUAAGAUGUGAGGAAGGUGGGGAUGACGUCAAAUCAGCACGGCCCUUACGUCCGGGGCUACACACGUGUUACAAUGGGGGGUACAGAAGGCAGCUACACGGCGACGUGGUGCUAAUCCCGAAAGCCUCUCUCAGUUCGGAUUGGAGUCUGCAACCCGACUCCAUGAAGCUGGAUUCGCUAGUAAUCGCGCAUCAGCCACGGCGCGGUGAAUACGUUCCCGGGCCUUGUACACACCGCCCGUCAAGCCAUGAAAGCCGGGGGUACCUGAAGUACGUAACCGCGAGGAGCGUCCUAGGGUAAAACUGGUGAUUGGGGCUAAGUCGUAACAAGGUAGCCGUACCGGAAGGUGCGGCUG
rnacentral:rRNA from 1 species